rnacentral:tRNA from 1 species
UUAAUUGAAGCCAAAAAUGAGGCACUUUAAUGUUAAUAAAGAAAAUGAAAUUUAAUUUCCAAUUAAA